CAGCAGUCGCCACGGGAAUACAGAGGGUGCGAGCGUUAAUCGGAUUUACUGGGCGUAAAGCGUGCGUAGGCGGCUUCUUAAGUCGGAUGUGAAAUCCCUGAGCUUAACUUAGGAAUUGCAUUCGAUACUGGGAAGCUAGAGUAUGGGAGAGGAUGGUAGAAUUCCAGGUGUAGCGGUGAAAUGCGUAGAGAUCUGGAGGAAUACCGAUGGCGAAGGCAGCCAUCUGGCCUAAUACUGACGCUGAGGUACGAAAGCAUGGGGAGCAAACAGGAUUAGAUACCCCAGUAGUCCCUGUCUCUUAUAC
rnacentral:rRNA from 1 species